GAUUCGAUGAAACUCAUAAAAGCAUAAAAGACUCUCUGCGGUAAACAACUCUAAUUUUCAAUAGAUAGAAUAAGUGGGUGGGCACAGUUUGUGUUUAACUUGUCUCAAGCUACAAUAUGUGGAAAACUUAACGUUACAUUGUGUGGAGAGGUCAGGAGGUUUAAGCUUGCUGGUAAAGGAUGUUGAUUUUCUUGAAAAUGAAGAUGAUCACAGUAUUGGGACUUACAAGUAGAUAAUAGCAGAGGAACUAAAUGAGAGAAAUAUAGCAGAUGAGCAGUGCUGCAGUGAACAACUCAUAGGAUGUUGAUUUUCUUGAAAAUGAAGAUGAUCACAGUAUUGGAACUCACAAGUAGCUAAUAGCAGAGAAACUAAAUAGGAGAAAUAUAGCAGAUGAGCAGUGAACAACU